UUGAAGUGGCUGAGGGUAGGCGGUAAACUGUAAAUUUACUUACAAGAAUAAUUUAUUCUUCUUUAACAA
rnacentral:tRNA from 1 species